UUGGAACGCUGGCGGCAUGGCUAAAACAUGCAAGUCGAACGCGAAAGGGAGCAAUCCCAAGUAGAGUGGCGAAAGGGUGAGUAAUACGUUCCUACGUGCCUCGAGGUCAGGGAUAGCCAGGGGAAACUCUGGGUAAUACCUGAUGUGGUCGCAAGAUCAAGGGCUUGCCGCCUCGAGAGCGGGGAACGUCCUAUCAGCUAGUUGGUGAGGUAACGGCUCACCAAGGCAUAGACGGGUAGCAGGUGUGAGAGCACGCCUGCACAUCGGAACUGAGACACUGUCCGGACUCCUACGGGAGGCUGCAGUAACGAAUCUUCCGCAAUGCGCGAAAGCGUGACGAGCAAUGCCGCGUGCAGGAUGAAGCCCUCGGGU
rnacentral:rRNA from 1 species